AACGAACGCUGGCGGCGCGCCUAAUACAUGCAAGUCGAGCGAGAAGGUGUAGCAAUACACUUGUAAAGCGGCGAACGGGUGAGGAAUACAUGGGUAACCUACCCUCGAGUGGGGAAUAACUAGCCGAAAGGUUAGCUAAUACCGCAUACGAUUCCAGGACUUCGGUCCUGGAAGGAAAGCACUACCGUGGGUAGUGCGCUCCUGGAUGGGCUCAUGUCCUAUCAGCUUGUUGGUGAGGUAAAGGCUCACCAAGGCUUCGACGGGUAGCUGGUCUGAGAGGACGAUCAGCCACACUGGCACUGCGACACGGGCCAGACUCCUACGGGAGGCAGCAGUAAGGAAUAUUGCGCAAUGGGCGAAAGCCUGACGCAGCGACGCCGCGUGGGGGAUGAAGGUCUUCGGAUUGUAAACCCCUUUCGGGAGGGAAGAGGGAAUGGGCGAACCCAUUCGGACGGUACCUCCAGAAGCAGCCACGGCU
rnacentral:rRNA from 1 species